AGUGAACGCUGGCGGUAGGCCUAACACAUGCAAGUCGAACGGCAGCACAGUAAGAGCUUGCUCUUACGGGUGGCGAGUGGCGGACGGGUGAGGAAUACAUCGGAAUCUACUUUUUCGUGGGGGAUAACGUAGGGAAACUUACGCUAAUACCGCAUACGACCUACGGGUGAAAGCAGGGGAUCUUCGGACCUUGCGCGAUUGAAUGAGCCGAUGUCGGAUUAGCUAGUUGGCGGGGUAAAGGCCCACCAAGGCGACGAUUCGUAGCUGGUCUGAGAGGAUGAUCAGCCACACUGGAACUGAGACACGGUCCAGACUCCUACGGGAGGCAGCAGUGGGGAAUAUUGGACAAUGGGCGCAAGCCUGAUCCAGCCAUACCGCGUGGGUGAAGAAGGCCUUCGGGUUGUAAAGCCCUUUUGUUGGGAAAGAAAAGCAGCAGGUUAAUACCCCGCUGUUCUGACGGUACCCAAAGAAUAAGCACCGGCUAACUUCG
rnacentral:rRNA from 1 species